rnacentral:rRNA from 1 species
GCGUGCUACACAUGCAGUCGACGGAGAUUAGAAGGAAGCUUGCUAAUUCUAGACUUAGUGGCGCACGGGUGAGUAACGCGUGGAUAACCUGCCUGGUAGACCGGGAUAACAGCUGGAAACGGCUGCUAAUACCGGAUACGCUUAAUGGAACGCAUGUUCUUUUAAGGAAAGCAGUCGUGCUAUCAUAUGGAUCCGCGUCCCAUUAGCUAGUUGGUGGUGUAAGGGACCACCAAGGCGACGAUGGGUAGCCGGCCUGAGAGGGCGACCGGCCACACUGGGACUGAGACACGGCCCAGACUCCUACGGGAGGCAGGACUGGGGAAUCUUCCGCAAUGGGCGAAAGCCUGACGGAGCAGCGCCACGUGAGGGAAGAAUGCCUUCGGGUUGUAAACCUCUGUCAUCAAGGAAGAACAGAUGACGGUACUUGGAGAGGAAGCCCCGGCUGACUACGUGCCAGCUGCCGCGGUAGAACGUACGGGGCGAGCGUUGUCCGGAAUUACUGGGCGUAAAGGGCGCGUAGGUGGUCCAUUAAGUUAGAGGUGAAAGAUCGGGGCUCAACCGCGAGAUUACCUCUGAUACUGGUGGACUUGAGUGCAGGAUAGGGUAGCGGAAUUCCCAGUGUACGGUGAAGGCCUAGAUCUUGUGAGGAACACCAAUGGCGAUGCUGCUCUCUGGACUGUCACUGACACUGAUGCUCGAAAGCAUGGGGAGCGAACAGGAUUAGAUACCCUGGUCAUCCACGCCUCAUACGAUGAGUGCUGGAUGUUGCGGGUAUCUACCCCCGCACUGUCCUAAUUCACACAAUAAGCACUCCUCCUGUGGAGUACGGUCGCCAGACUGCAACUCUGAUGGAUUUGACCGGGAGCUCGCACAAUUCAGCUGGAGUAUGGUGGUAUUACUUCGUACGCAUCUGCGGAAAAUCAUUACCACCGGCUUUGAAUACGUCAUGAUAGCGAUAUGAGAUAUCGAUCUUUACACCUCUGAGGUAACAGGACAGACUAGUGGUGCAUUGAUGUCCGUCAGCUCGUGACAUGACAUGUCGCGUAAGUCUCAGCACGAUGCUACCACUAACAUUACUGGCCUCGAUUACGUCAGCGACUCUAUGUCACGUCGUGACAAACUUACGACGUGAGGAUUACUUCAUCAUCAUGCUCCUACGUCCGGGCUACCCCAUACUGAAUA